rnacentral:rRNA from 1 species
GGGGAAUAUUGGGCAAUGGGCGCAAGCCUGACCCAGCGACGCCGCGUGGGUGAUGAAGGCCUUCGGGUUGUAAAGCCCUGUCAUGUGGAAAGAACAGUCCCGUGGUGAAUAUCCACGGGAUUUGACGGUACCACAGGAGGAAGCACCGGCUAACUCCGUGCCAGCAGCCGCGGUAAUACGGAGGGUGCAAGCGUUGUUCGGAAUUAUUGGGCGUAAAGGGCGCGUAGGCGGUUGUGAAAGUCAGAUGUGAAAUACUUCGGCUCAACUGAAGAACUGCAUCUGAAACUUCAUAACUCGAGUACAGGAGAGGGAAACGGAAUUCCCGGUGUAGAGGUGAAAUUCGUAGAUAUCGGGAGGAACACCAGUGGCGAAGGCGGUUUCCUGGCCUGAUACUGACGCUGAGGCGCGAAAGCGUGGGGAGCAAAC